AGUGAACGCUGGCGGUAGGCCUAACACAUGCAAGUCGAACGGCAGCACAGUAAGAGCUCGCCCCUACGGGUGGCGAGUGGCGGACGGGUGAGGAAUACAUCGGAAUCUACUUUUUCGUGGGGGAUAACGUAGGGAAACUUACGCUAAUACCGCAUACGACCUACGGGUGAAAGCAGGGGAUCUUCGGACCUUGCGCGACUGAAUGAGCCGAUGUCGGAUUAGCUAGUUGGCGGGGUAAAGGCCCACCAAGGCGACGAUCCGUAGCUGGUCUGAGAGGAUGAUCGGCCACACUGGAACUGAGACACGGUCCAGACUCCUACGGGAGGCAGCAGUGGGGAAUAUUGGGCAAUGGGCGCAAGCCUGAUCCAGCCAUGCCGCGUGGGUGAAGAAGGCCUUCGGGUUGUAAAGCCCUUUUGUUAGGAAAGAAAAGCAGCAGGUUAAUACCCCGCUGUUCUGACGGUACCCAAAGAGUAAGCACCGGCUAACUUCGUG
rnacentral:rRNA from 1 species